CGGAUACGAUAUAAGCGUAAUGCGUAGUGCGUACUCUGUGAUACACCUACUUGGAUCUAUAAUAGGUACAUACUUUUUUUGGACACUUGUAUCGCAGUUGAGUUAACCGAGUCGAAAAAGUAUUAUAAUUAAUCAAUAAAUCACAAGGAAUAAGGACAAUGGUGUGUGUUUUUUUACGCUAUUGAUGAAGUCAGAUUUGGUCGGUCGGACUUACUUUGAAGUACAAUUCAAGCCUACCUAAAGUUUCAGAUGAGGCAAAAUGGGAAUUGACCUCCCAGACAAAUAACUGGUAAACCGAAGACCACUGACUUUAUCUCACUACUACUUAGACAAGCAUAUGAAAACCUGCUGAAGGCGGCUUUUAAUGAUGAUGGCGAUUUAUAAACUGGCUUUUCACCAUACUAAAGGUUUUAGCGGUUUAGGUGUCAGACUGAACUCGGUGAACUACAGACCCAGCUACUUCUAGGUGUAUCUUACGAUUGAAGUUUCAUUCUCAGGUUAUCAAUAACCAGCAACAGACUGCCAUGCGUCCAGUUCGUCGUUGCCGUCAACAGUAUCAAUCCACACAAUAUUUAGAUCAUCGUAUGUCACAUGGGGAGCUUGACCAAGUACCAGAUAGAUACCUUGAACAGGAAUCACGUCAAAAUCGUCGGUAUAACAACCGAGAGAGGCGUUCACGUUUCCGUCCUCAAGGUCAUAACCUGCCAGAAAAAAACCAUCAGAAGCCUGACGUUCCAGUUAAUAAUCCAGCGGUUCCCGACCAUAUCCAGGCCAAGGAUGAUGAAAGAAAGUACACAGUUGCCUCGGGAGCUCAAGAGCUUGUGCCAGAGCACGAGAAUGAACUGCUUCAAUUUAUCUUACCAGAUACAGUCGCGGAAACUUUGGAGGUGGAGCCAGACAUUGAGGCGUUGUUAAACAUUUCACCAGCCCAACAGGACUAGAAGAACUUAAUGUUUCCGACUAAGGGAUAAUUUCUAUCGUUUAAUUCUCAGUAUAAAUUUAAGACUCCCUGGUUUCUAUGUUAACCAAAAAAUAAUGCUCAUGCCAAUUACAAAUCCUCUGUUUCCCUCUUGGUGGACUUUUACAUUUUUUCUGUUUGUUUUCUUGUUCCUUACAAAUUUCUGUUAAAGAUAUGCUAUUGUGAUCUCAUUUUUUUAUUCUGCAUACAUUUUUGUGUUAAAAAUGAUUUUGUCAUUCGUUCACCCAACUACACUUAAUUUUGUUUUUUGUAACGUCAUUUGUAACGGUUUUGUUAGUUUUGAUCUCAUUUUUAUUUUUAAUUUUUUGUUAAAGCGGGUAAUUUAUUUUUUGUAAAUAUUUUUCUUCUGUUCACACAUCUCCAGUACAAAUGUUUACCCUUUCUUUUUUAAAUUUUCUAUUGCUUAUUUUCCGUGUCUUCUAUUAAUAUCAGUAACAUACCAGUUUUUCUCCAUAAUAAUUCUUGUGGUUCUGAUAGUAUUUAAGGCGAUAUUAACAUGUUUAUUGAUUUAUUCCUGGAUAAAUACCUUGACUCUGGUGUGUUCUUUUGUAAACUUGGUCCUAUUAAUUCUAUCCGUGAGUUCGGCUAUUUUCUCAACUUCUCUAAUUACUGUCCUAUCCCAUAUUGUACAUUAUCAAAACAAUUUCUUCUCUAUCUAUUCUGUCCAUUUAACGACUAUAUUAUGUCUAUAUUUUAUUUCCCUUCUUAUAAUGUUAACUUUUUGUAUCAAUAUUAUGAUUUAUAACUAAUUACUAAAGAAUUUGAUCACCCUCAUCUAGUCAAUAAUCCAGAGUCUAAAUUUUAGACAGUCUUAACUCUUUGGUAUAAGAUUCUUUGACUGCGUAUUUAACUCAAUAAUCGACCUUAUAUGUUUCCGUUCUGAAUUCCUUUCUUCUUUUUCCCGCCUUAAUCUGGUAUUCCUCAAAGCCUUAUUGUUUGUAACCUAUGUCUCUUUUGACAGAACUACUUAUCUUUAAGUAUAAUAUAAAACUAAUAUUGGUGUUAAAAUAGUAAUUAAUAUUGUAUAUAUGAA